GCCCUUGUAGCCCAACUGGGAGAGGCACCGGAUUCAGGAUCCGGCCAGUCCAGGUUCGACUCCUGGCAAGGGCA
rnacentral:tRNA from 1 species